rnacentral:rRNA from 1 species
UUUGGAGAGUUUGAUCCUGGCUCAGGACGAACGCUGGCGGCGUGCCUAAUACAUGCAAGUCGAGCGAAGCUUAUCCUUCGGGAUAAGCUUAGCGGCGGACGGGUGAGUAACACGUAGGCAACCUACCCUCUAGACUGGGAUAACUACCGGAAACGGUAGCUAAUACCGGAUAAUUCCUUCACCCUCAUGGGCGAGGGAUGAAAGGCGGAGCAAUCUGCUACUAGAGGAUGGGCCUGCGGCGCAUUAGCUAGUUGGUGGGGUAAUGGCCUACCAAGGCGACGAUGCGUAGCCGACCUGAGAGGGUGAACGGCCACACUGGGACUGAGAC